CCCCCCUCGCGGUGUGGUGGAGAUGGAGGGCGGCGAGCGGACCGGGCCGCGCAUUCGCGAGGGGGAUUGUGCCGUCCUCAAGCGCGGCGAUGUCUUCAAAGCGGUGCCCGUGCUGCGGCGGAGAAAAAUUAUUUUUGAGAAGCAGUGGUUCUAUCUGGAUAAUGCCAUCGGACAUAUUUAUGGAACUACAUUUGAAGUGACUAGUGGUGGGAAUCUCCAGCUGAAGGAAGUGGUGGAAGAGACAACCACAGAAACAAAAGAAGCAGGUGCAGAUAAUCGUAACAUAGUUGACGAUGGAAAGUCUCAAAAACUGACUCAUGAUGACAUAAAGGCUUUGAAGGACAAGGGUAUUAAAGGACAGGAAAUAGUUCAGCAGUUAAUAGAGAACAGUACAACAUUCAGAGACAAAACAGAAUUUGCUCAAGAUAAAUACAUAAAGAAGAAGAAAAAAAAGUAUGAGGCAGUUAUUACAAUUGUGAAACCAUCCACUCGCAUUCUUUCAACAAUGUAUUAUGCGAGGGAACCUGGAAAAAUUAACCACUUGCGAUAUGACACCCUAGCUCAGAUGUUGACUUUAGGAAACAUCCGUGCUGGCAACAAGAUGAUUGUAAUGGAAACCUGUGCAGGCCUGGUGCUGGGUGCGGUGAUGGAACGAAUGGGAGGCUAUGGAUCCAUUAUUCAGAUGUAUCCAGGAGGGGGACCUGUUAGAGCUGCUACCAGUUGCUUUGGAUUUCCAAAGCCCUUUUUUGAUAAUCUUCAUGAAUUUCCUCUCAGCAAAAUGGGUAGUCUUCUCUCUGGGACUUUUUCUACAGAGACUCUGCCCUCAGAACCUGAAGAUAAUACGCUAGUGGAAGAAGAAAGCAAUGGAUUGACUGGUAAGAAGCAGCCUUCCCUACAGGAAACAGAAGAGGAUUCUACUACUGAAACAGCUAUGGAGAUUAACGAAACAGAAGAGCAGGAAACAAUGGACAUCAAUGCUGAGGAUGUAGAAUUUAAAGACAUCAAAGAAAAAGAAAAUAAAGGAAAUGUUCGAGAAAAAAAACAGUGGGAGAGAAGGAAAAAGCUAAUAGAAGCCGCUGCUUUGUUAAGAGAGAAGAAUGCUGAUGGCUUAAUUGUAGCCAGCAAGUUUCAUCCCACACCUUUAUUACUUACUUUAUUGGAAUUUGUUGCCCCUUCAAGGCCUUUCGUUGUCUACUGCCUGUAUAAAGAGCCAUUAUUAGAGUGUUACACGAAGCUGAGAGAAAGAGGGGGUGUUAUCAACCUGAAGCUGUCUGAAACCUGGCUACGAAACUAUCAGGUCUUACCAGAUCGAAGCCAUCCAAAACUGACAAUGAGUGGAGGUGGAGGCUACCUUCUAUCUGGGAUAACUGUUGUCUUGGAUGAGGGCAAAUCUGAUACCAGCAAUUUAGAAGCACUGAAGAUGGAAGAGCCAUCAUCUAAAAGAUGCAAAAUUCAAGACCUUCAUUGUUAAUAUUUGAAGAAAUUAUUUGUUUUUUUGAUCUCAGAAGUCCUACUGUUAAUAAAAUAACAAGUAUAGUUUCUGUGCUCUUGACAGCACAAAAAUUUACCUGUCAUACAUCUGUCAACAAAAGCAGCAGGACUGCAUGGUGGGGAGGGCUGUCUCACUCCUCCUUUGCCAGUUUACGUGAUCAGAAUGAGGAGAAAAACCCUUGGAAGCAAACAUCACACUGAAAAUACGCUAACUUUAGAAAGAAGAGAAGAUAAACCAUCUGUGAAGGCAUUCUUUUUGUUGCCAAAAAUGGAUGUGAUUAAGCAGUUUUUUUAAAAGGUUGAGUCCGAAUCAACACAUCUAACUUAGCUUCCCAUUACCCUAGAACAGCAUCAAGCAGAGGCUUUAAAGAAUACCAUUGCUGGCUGCGCCCCAUUGAAGCCCCAGUGGGGAGCUUUAGGACACUGUGGGAGCUCAUAGAGCCACCAGGAUUUGGAUUCCAUUCUUGAACUUACUCAUCAAGGGGAAUCGGGAGCUUUGGGAUCAGUGCAACUGUUGCAAAUCGCAUGUGCCGAAGAGAACAUGUGUGGCUUUCACUUAAGUGUUUUAAAAAAUUCUGAAUUUUUCAACUUCUAUCAAGAAUUAAUGUGAAAGAGGAGGAGGAAAGAGAAGUUUUCCUUUCCGGUGUGGCUACCUGUGCAACAUGAGGGUAAACUGGGACUUUGAAAGCAGCCGACGCACAGUAUGUGAUGAAAUUCUGAGGUGACCCAGCUUAGAGCGAUGGACAGGAGCCUGGAAGCUUGGAAAAGGCAAGAAGACAGUGAAAUCACUGAAAGCCAGGAGAUUAACACAAAAAAAAUUGUCUUUCACCUUAGUUUUCUUAUCUGUAAAGCAGGCACAGGUAUUUCUGUGUCAUUUCCAUUGAGCUGGUAGGUACAUGGCUAUCAUAUUUACAGCACUAGGAAGGUGUAAGAGCUUACACAGUAAAAGUGAGGUUAAGCAACCACCAUAUGUUUUAAAUCUUACUUCCUACUGUAUAGAACAUGAUAAACAUAAUAACCUUAGGAAAAAUAGUUUAUUUGUAGAAUGAAAAUAUGAGUUUUGAGAAAGAAACAAUAUUGGAACACCUGAAAAAUUAUUUUAGAUUGAAAUCAAACUGGUUCACUUUACCAGCAUCAACACUAAUCCGCUUUCAGUGCUGAAUCCUCUCCUAGUUUUUAAAAUGCACUGUAAUGCUUGUUACAGUGAAAGACAGCAAGAAACAAUUAAUGUAAAAUAUUCCAAAUUAUUGAUGUUUCGAAUUCAUGGAAUGUAUUCCGUAUAUAAUAGUGGAAGAACACAGCUUGAUAGAACAUAGUUUCUAUUUGAAUGGAAACACCAAUAAAUGACACUAUGAUAGAAACAUUGUAGAAAUGCAAGUUAGGAUUGUUUAAAAUACUAGAGAGCCUUUAUGUUCUUACCAGUAACAAAUUAGAGAAAAAACAGAACAGAGGAGAAGAGGGAAAGUACAUCCUCUAAGAUCUUAACAGAAGCUGAAAGUGACUGCUGUAAUGAAAAGAAAAAUUAAAAAAGAUAGGGUGAGGAACAGGAUGGUGAUCCUUGCAUUCCUGUAUUUAGUCUCCAUAAAGCCUAGCUCAGAAAGAAACAUGAUAAGUACUAGAAUCUCAAGAAUGUCCAAGGAAUUCUGUCUCUGGAAGUAUAAAAUGUAACAGAUCGGUAUAAUUUGAUGUUGGUCAAUGAUGUGUAGAUAAGGUGUGGGGAAAGGUAGUGGCUGUUAAACCAGAGGUGAUUCCUUAAAGCAGGGUUGAUGUUGAGACCACUGAGUUCUGCAGAAGCUGUCCCUUGGAAGAGGCAGAGAACUUGGCUGGGUUGGGCAGGCUGAGAAACCAACUUCCAUGGCUCAGGUGUGUUUGUGGUAAGUAAGGCUGUCACUAGGACAGCAUGUUUAUUACAGCACAAGCAGGUGCAGGCACCUAAAGGUAUUGCUGCUGUUAAACAGCACCUUGGGGGCUGGUUUUAUCACUGCCUUUAGUCAUAAUGCAGAACAGACAACUGCCUUCGCUAUGCAAAUUUGCUGAAAAUAGGAGCAGAUUAGAAGAAAUAAAUAGUUACCAAGCUCUCAGUUCCUAUGUUUUACUAAACUACAUAUCAAAUUCACCAUUAAUCAGGGCCAGAAGUAAGACACGACUUUUUCAGAAGCCAAAACCACCAUCUCCACUUUGUUUGAUUUCCUGGAACGAGGUUAUACAUCUUGUACUCCCAUACCUGUCUUUAAUUGUGCUGCCAAAAGCGGGCCAGUGGACUUUAAAUAAUGUAAAUUAAUGGAAAUGGUAUUGGCUGUUUAAAAAAAGCUCUAGUGUUGCCCAUCAAAAAAAAUCUCUUGUUGCUUGUGGUGUCAGCCAUGCAGAGCAACACAUAGAGCGGAGACAGGCAACAGAUCAAAGGGCUGUCACAAAGCUCUGGGAGUCCAUGCAAUGAGAUUUGAUUUUAAAGCCUUUCAAGGGACGUAUUUUUAAGCAAAGCAUUGCUGAUUCAUAAAUAUAUUUUUGCAAAAGCUUAUCUUUUAAAAAAAAAAUCCUGGAGUUGCGUACUUGAAAAAUUUAGAAAGUUUCCUGUGCUACAACUAAAGCUUUUUGCUUUUAGGCAUUUACAUACUUACAGACAUAAAAUCACAACAUGUCAGCUGAAUCUUAGAAGUGUCCAACUCCACCACUUCUCUGGGGAGGUUAUUGAUGGCUGACACUGUUCUCAUUAUGAAAAAUUUUCCUCUUGUGUCCAAUUGGAGUCUGCCCAGGACUACCUCGUACUCAUUACCUCUUGUCUUUUCCCUGUGACUGCUUGUAGAAAGGGAGUCUCCAUCUGCUUUGUAGCCACUCUUUAAAUACUGGAACAUGGUGGUAGCGUCUCUCCUCAGCCCUCUUUUCUCACUUCUCUCAGCCUUUCCUCAUAUGACAGGCUUCCCAGCCCUGUGAUCAGCUUUGUGGCCGUUUUCUGGAUGAGGCCGUUUUGCAGCCUGUCAACACAUCUUUUGUAUAGGAGAGACCAGCAAUGAACACAGUAUUCCAGGUGUGGCCUGAUGAGCACUGAGCAGAGUGGGCUAGUGAUUUCUUUAUCUCUGCUGGCAAUGGCCUUGUAGAUGCAGCCCAGCAUCCUGUUGGCUUUCUUUGCCACAGCAGCAGCAGCACACUGUUCACCCCUGUGGAGCUUAUUGUUCACCAGCACCCCCCGUCCUUUGCCACAGAGCUUUCUCUCAUACCAGCUGGGGGAAAAGAGUGCCGUAGUGCAAGACUUAGUGUGUAGUAUUGUAUAUUUUAAAAGGGAGAGUCUCAGAAUUUGAAGGCAACAAAGAAAGUAUUUCUGCAGCUGGGACACUUUCUGACUUUCCUUAGUGUUGUGGGAAGUCUGGUGAAACCAUGGUCCUACUGAAGUCAAUACUCUGUCAAUUUUCUUGAGUCGGGAUUUAAACAUCACACAACUUAACCAACUAUGAUGAAACAUUUGACUGCUCUUACCAAAAUUCUUAGGCAUAGACAUGCUCACACAGCUCAAGGAUCAGUAUCUCAUAGAGCAUUUUCACUUCCUAUUGCCUAACAGUUAAUUGGGGAGCAUAGUUGAGUAUAAUGAGUAGGUGGAUUAAGUGGAGUAAGCUGGGAAAGGGUAGCGCACAUUUACUGAUAAUGUGACUCAGCUGAGUUCUUUGUGUAGCCGGGCCCCCCCCCCGGUGUAGAAAGUCUGUUAAAAACUCCCCACAUUUGAGUAAGUUAAACUAAAUUGAACCCCAUAUGUUUGAAGUAAUUGAAACUAAUUACAGGGUUGUUUCUGUGACUGCUCCAUAGUGUAACGUGAUUUCCAAGGGGCUCUUUCCACGCCCCACUCACUCAUUGUAAGCCAUGGUGCUGUUUAUGACACAGAGACCCUCCUGCCCCCAGCUCGCUGGCUGCUGAGGAACUCGCCUUGUGCAAGGUCAGCCCAGUGCAGCGCCCAGCCUGCAGCGUUUCUCACCCUGACCUGCUCGCCUGCAGUAGGCAGAAAGAACACAUUAGCAAAGUGUGUUCAAUAGGUGCUUAAAUUAACAGGACCACUUAGACCGAACAAGUGGCAGAACCAGUCUACGUUACCUAAUGCAUUGAUUCUGAAGCACCACCUGCUUUUCCAAAUUAACAACAAUCCAUUUUCUUCUUUAAUGACCGGUUUCCAGAAAUAAAUAUUUCACAGGGACAUUUCUGAGUUACCAGAGCAGAUUAAUUUGCGCUCCUUCUUACCUCUUGUGCU